AGAUAAUUUAGGCCCAGUCGUUUUUCUAUCUAUUUGAUUAAACGUAUGAAUGUCUCUUAUCGGCGUUGUCGACGACGCUCCAUCUCCACCGGUUGCUUCUCCUUAACUCACGCUCCAUGCCGUUUCACCAUCUGAUGCGAAUUGAAGUCUUCCAGUCCUCUACACUUUCACUUAUCCUUCCAUAUCUUCCAUCACAAUUGCUACGGUUUCGUUUGUAACUGUUAAAUAUGUUCUUCCAUCUUCUCUGAUUUAAUGAACAGUCCACUACUUCUCCCUUAAAUUGCCGUAAGUUCUUCUGUUAUAUAAACCAACCUCUAGCCAGAUUCCGACUUAGGGUUUCCUCCAUGUUGAUUUAUAUCAGUUCUACCAUCGUCACAAAGAGGAUUUCUAAGUCUUUCUCGUAUUACGUGAUUCGAUUUAAACAAGUUUUGGAAUAAGCAACGGAUCUUGUUCCAAGAGCAGCUCUCUAAGAAAUGAGCUUGAGAAUGGUGUUGAUGAAGAAGAGCAUGAUCUGCAAUGGGGUGGGAUCCAGAGAUUUCCCACUUUUAAACGGUUGCGGUUUUCUCUGGUGGAAAACCAUGGCGAGGCUGCAGAGAAAGGGAAAAAGGUUGUUGAUGUCACCAAGCCUAAAGCCAUGGAACGUCAUCUGAUGAUUGAGAAGCUCAUCAAACACAUUGAGAAUGAUAAUCUCAAGCUGCUCAACAAAAUCAGAAGAAGGAUGGACAGGGUCGGUGUGGAGUUCCUGAGCACAGAGGUGAGGUAUGAGCAUUUAGGCGUGGAAGCAGAAUGUGAGGUCGUUGAAGGGAAGGCACUUCGUCUUUAUGGAACUCUUUGAAGCAUGUUUUCUUAGUGAGUAUACUGAAGAAUGUAAUGUGGAGUUUAACUUUUGUAGUAGCUGGGGUUGAAUUAAAUUCUAAUCUUUUUUCUUCAGGACUUGAUUAGCUACUUAAUUAUGUUUUGUGUGGAAUCUUCAUAUCCUCGGGCUUGAUAUUUGUGCAGAAACAUUGGUUGGAAAUGCAAUGAGAUGAGGCAUAUCCGGCGGGCAAGAGAAGUGUCUUACCACAUGUUAGUUAGUUCAUAGCCAAGAGUUCUCUAUCUGAUUCACCUUGUUCUUAGGAUAUGAAUGAACUCAGUUUUUUGGGUGAUUGGAGUUUGUAUGUAUAGAUCUUUUACCAAUCUGACUUCAUUUUAGUUUCCCACGAAUUUGUAAUAUCUAUUUAGUUUAUUGCAGGUUUCUCAGUCACCAUCACCGUAACAUGUGAGUGAUUUCUGACUUCUUUUUUUUGUUACUUGAGUUUUGAUAAUUGAAUAAAAAUUGUUCACUUCAAAGGUUUGAUACGUAUAUGCAUUGAUAUUUGAUACUGUGGACAAAGUUAUUUUCCUUCAGUAUCCAUUUUCUUUUAUGUUUGAUCACCAUAAGUUAAUUUCUUACAGUGGAACAUCUCUAAUAUGGUAAAAACUUCUCAUCAUUUCUAAUAGGGGAAGAAACUUCUCGUCUUUGGGACAACAAGUGAACUAACCUUCUUAGAUUCUGUUGGUAUCUGUGAUUCCUUCUCUGUCACAGAUACUAACAGAAUCUAACUGCAC